AUUAAGAAGUAUAUAAUUAAUUAAUUUAAAUUUUAUGGUAACCAUCUAACUUUUAAAGUUUAUAAUUUUAAUUUAAUUUUAUUAUUUUAUUGAAAAUAUUAUUAUGUUUUUGAAUUAUUGCUGCUUAAUUAGAUGUACUUUUUAUACUAGAGAGAAUGAAUAAAAGUAUGAAAGAAAAUAUAUUUGAAAAUAGUUUGAAUAUAUGAUAUAUACAAAAACAUGUUUUUAAUAAUUAAGGUGGUAGGGACGGACCGUUCCUAGAGCAAGUGGCAAAGAGCUUGGUGGUUGGUACCCGAGACCCAAAUUCGAAUCCUAAUUGAUUCACAUUUCCAGCUAAGUUUAUUUAUAAAUGAAAUAAACGAAGCGGAUAGCGUGUUACCAAUCUCUCUCUCUCAAAAAAAUAAAAAAAAGGUGGUGGGGCCAUUAUUUAUAGUGGACAUGUCCAAUAUUUCCAUAUUAUAUAUAUUUUUAAGAAAAAACUUCAAAACCCCAACAGUGCUUUCGCACUUUUUUUCAUUUUAGUAUCUGUGAUUUAAAGUGUAUCAAGUUAGUACCCUGUGGUUUCGUGCUUUCUCACUUCAGUACCCUGUGGUUUAAAGUGUAUUAAGUCAGUACUAUGUGAUUUUAUUUUUGUAUCAAGUUAGUACACUGGUUUUAUUUUUGUGUCAAGUUAGUACCCUGUGGUUUUGAAACCACAUGAUACUAAAGUGAGAAAGUGCGAAACCGCAGGGAACUAACUUGAUACACUUUAAACCACAGGAUUCUACAGUGAAAAAGUGCAAAACCACGGGGUACUAACUUGAUACACUUUAAACCACAGGGUACUAAAGUGAGAAAAAGUAAAACCACAAGGGGGGUAUUUGAAGUUUUUCUAUUUUUUAAGGAUUAUUAUAUACAGUUCGAUGUAAACAUGUCGAAUAGCAAAUAUAUCUCUUCAAAGUUUAACUUUUUAUUUUUAUCCCUACAAAAGUUCAGUGAUAUUCAUAUUUGUUACUGUGGUUUAUUAACGUUAGAGCACUAUUUAUUUUUUAACAAUAGUUAAGUGAAAUGAUAUUUUUACCAUUACAAAUAUAUCUCUUUAAAAGCUCCAGCUGUUAGAAUUAUGCAGAAACAUUCUUCCAAAAAAAAUUUUUAUCCAAUAAUAUAAAAGGAGUAAAAAGAUCAAUUUAACUCAUUCACUAAUCAGGAUUAAGUAUUUUAUUUAUGGUUAACUAUAUUUUUCUAACGGAUCCUAACAGCAGGAAUAUAUUUAAAAAUGAUGAGGCUUUUGCAUGGAUAAAAAUAAAAUAUUAAACUUUAUAGAAAUAUAACUGCUAUUCGAUAUGUUUAUAGCUAGCGUCGCAGAUAAUUAACCCUUUU
rnacentral:lncRNA from 1 species